ACAGUAACUAUAUAUUUAAGUUGUUAUACGACCAACAAUUAAGCGUCCAAGAUUCACCACGAAUCAUAUAUUAUGUAACUCUGAUAUAUCGCGUUAUAAAGAAAAAUAUCAUGUACAGACCGAUUAGAUACACAUCCGAUCCUAUCGCAUGGUAUCGGCGGCAAUAAAUAAAAUCACAUGCGCCCUGGCAUGUGAUAUCACAUUAGGAGGAGGAGGAAGAGAAAGAAGAAGAAGUAACAAACUAUAUAACAAAC
rnacentral:lncRNA from 1 species